GCGGAGAAAGGUCUCAACAACAAGCAGAGACAGGUCUCUACCUAAACCGUGGCCAAAUGGCACAGCCUGUUGCCUAGUAACCAUACGUCAUCACGUCACAACAUCACGGUUGUUGCGAGGGAAAAAAUGUCGAAGCGAGUGGCGCCUCCCGGUAAGACAACGGUGGCAAAAGAAUUAAGAAACUGUGAAUUAACUGCUAAAUACCGGGCUGAACAAUACCCCAACGACUACUAUGAAUCUGGACAACAAAGUUUUGUCAACAUACUGUUGACUGGACCCGCAAAAGACACCUGUAAUGACCAUUUGAAAUGAAAAGUUCAUCUCAAGAACAAAGCUAAAUCUACAGCGGGAAAAUCCCUCCAAGUUACCAUUGAGACGACUAAAUCAAUAGAUGCAAGGCGUGAGUUUGUGGAAGAUUUUGUUGCAGUGUGUGCUGAAGCUGACAUACCGCUAGAGAAAAUGAAGAGAAUACGUCCGUUUCUUGUUAAACAUUGCAAGCAGGGAGGCGCGCUUCCAGAAAAUGCCAGCAGCCUCAGGCAGACCCACCUGCUGCGGGUCAUUGACCAGCACAUGCAAAAAGUGCUGCAAGAGAUCCGUGGAAAGAAAAUCUUCGUUGUUGUCGAAGAAACCUCUGACAACCGAGAUCGCAGGGUCCUCAACAUUGUUAUAGGGGCUCAGGGCUCUUUUCCUCUAUGUUCUCUACAUGAUCAUUGGUGUCAACCACAUUAGGCUGUGACCACUCAUUGCUGAAGACUGGGUUGUCAAAGGUGGUUAACGUGUCAGGGACGGAUAAGCGACGAUUGAACUUCUUGAAGAGGAAUAAGGCAAUGACCACCCCAGUGGCAAUCCCAGUAAUGACCACCACAGUUGCCAAAGGGAUCUGUAGCCCAGUCAGAUGGCUGCUUACCUUUCAGCCAAUCACGUAAAUGCAGCUUGUGUGCAUUCAUUAAUAUUGAGACUAAUCUGACUCCAUAGUAGUCUGCCAUGUCUAUCUGCCAAGUCGCCGCUAGAGUAAUCGCUUUAUCUGACGCAGAGAAGCAAGCUUGUGACCGGAAGGCUGUGGUUUAAUCCCCAGAACAGCAGGAUAAAUCUGGGUGGGUGAGGUGAGGUGAGGUGCCCUUGAGCAACACCCUCAACCCCAAUUGCUCCAGUGGAGUUGCUCAGUGGCCAGCAGAUCAGACUGUGGUUGUACUGAACAGC